CUUUUUUUAAUUUUUAUUUUUUUGAUGAGGUCUUUCCAGAUGAGAUCUAUUUUGCAAGACUGGUAUGAAGUUUAAAUGAGAGGGUAGUAUGUAUAAGACACAGCAUCAGCAUCAUGGUAUCUGACAGUCACUGAUGUUUGUACUGUGUCAAUUAGGUAAGUUGAAAUCUAGUUCCUCAAAUGUCCGUUCCCAAUGUGGAUCCAGGAUAGGAUUCACUACAGAAGAAUUUCGUGUAAGUUUGGAAGGAGCAGGUAAGAUUUAUGUAAGAUUUGGAAGCAGCAGCCCUUGUGUUCUGAAGGUUGAUGUAAAUAUCACAUGCCGCUGCAGAUCAUAGAGUGGUUACUGAUCUGCUAACAUACUUUGUUGGUACAGAGCAUUAACUGGCCCACAGCUCCUUCAACUCCCACCAAAUUUUCUAUUUCAGUGUCUCCAAGCCUUGGCGCAAGGCACGUGUAGUUCCAUGGUAAAGGCAUUAGCUUAUGCUACAUAUCGCAUGCUCGUCAAUGUGAAAGAUAGCUGUGAGUUCCAUUUUGUCUUCGUGGGUUCCAGUUUGUCCUGUGGAUUCUAGUUUGUCCUCACUCUCCCUCAAUGCAAUCCAACUUUUCUUCCUGAUUGCUAGCCCUGAUGACCUAUCAUAAACUUCAGGCCCAUUGCUGGAUGCAGAGGGAACAGCCUUCCAUGUACUCAUUCGUCAGCUUUCCUUUGUGAUCUCUGUGGAGAAUUAAGAAGAAAGGAAGAAGGAAAGAGGACCACAUUGCAGAGUUUUUUGCAGGGAAGGGACAGUCGUUGAAAAAAAAAAAAAGCGCUGCUACAGUAUGUGAAAACAUUGGAUGGGAAAGGGAUGAAGGGGGAAUUCUAAGAAGUCUCAUGGGAAACUAAAUGUUUCUAUAGUGUUCAAAAUGUACAAAUAAAGUAUGCGGAAUAUUUUUAAAU
rnacentral:lncRNA from 1 species